UGGGGAAUAUUGGACAAUGGGCGAAAGCCUGAUCCAGCCAUGCCGCGUGUGUGAAGAAGGUCUUCGGAUUGUAAAGCACUUUAAGUUGGGAGGAAGGGCAUUAACCUAAUACGUUAGUGUUUUGACGUUACCGACAGAAUAAGCACCGGCUAACUCUGUGCCAGCAGCCGCGGUAAUACAGAGGGUGCAAGCGUUAAUCGGAAUUACUGGGCGUAAAGCGCGCGUAGGUGGUUUGUUAAGUUGGAUGUGAAAUCCCCGGGCUCAACCUGGGAACUGCAUUCAAAACUGACUGACUAGAGUAUGGUAGAGGGUGGUGGAAUUUCCUGUGUAGCGGUGAAAUGCGUAGAUAUAGGAAG
rnacentral:rRNA from 1 species